rnacentral:tRNA from 1 species
GGGGUUGUGGCUUAGUGGUAGAGCGCUUGCCUAGCAUGCAUGAGACACUGGGUUCGAUUCUCAGCACCA